GACGAACGCUGGCGGCGUGCUUAACACAUGCAAGUCGAACGGAAAGGCCCUGCUUUUGUGGGGUGCUCGAGUGGCGAACGGGUGAGUAACACGUGAGUAACCUGCCCUUGACUUUGGGAUAACUUCAGGAAACUGGGGCUAAUACCGGAUAGGAGCUCCUGCUGCAUGGUGGGGGUUGGAAAGUUUCGGCGGUUGGGGAUGGACUCGCGGCUUAUCAGCUUGUUGGUGGGGUAGUGGCUUACCAAGGCUUUGACGGGUAGCCGGCCUGAGAGGGUGACCGGCCACAUUGGGACUGAGAUACGGCCCAGACUCCUACGGGAGGCAGCAGUGGGGAAUAUUGCACAAUGGGCGGAAGCCGGAUGCAGAAACGCCGCGUGCGGGAUGACGGCCUUCGGGUUGUAAAACGCUUUAGCCUGUGACGAAGCGUGAGUGACGGUAAUGGGUAAAGAAGCACCGGCUAACUACGUG
rnacentral:rRNA from 1 species